ACUGAACUCGCCUCUGGUGGACAGGUUUGGUUAUGCUCACUUUAGUAGCAGCCACUCAGAACAAACUGGUUGAGACAAGAUGAAAUAUGAAUACAGUUAUGCAUGCUCCAGUAUGAUCUUUCUCAUGGAGGUGAAAAGAAUAAGGCAUAUUGUACAGUCUCUUUGUAAACUGUGAAGUACUGUCAGGGUGCUGGAAUCUCUCAUUUCUGCAGAGAGAUGACUAUAUCCAUCGGGAAGGAUUUCCCACUAGGAGCAGAAGACCCGAGAUUAGUGUAGGUGAUACAAGUUAGAGGUUUUCCAAUUUCUGGGAGUUGUCAUGGUGUUGGUCCAUCAUGCCUGCAGUCCCAGGCAAGAAGACAGAGAAAGUGUUGGGGGUGUUUGGUCAUGCUGGGAACAUGCAAGGACUAGAUCUGUCUAUGUGGUCCACAGAGCACAGCAGUGAUGGCUGAGGGGAUGAAGGAUCUGAGUCUAUCAUGGCUGCAAAGAGUCGUGGCUGUAGGAGCUGGAACCUGACUCACACCUUCACAUGAAAGAAUGAAACAGAGAGCAAACAGGAAGCAAGUCGCAGAAGACUCACCUAGUCAACAGCAAGCAGGAGGGAGACAUAAUGCAUCCCAGUAAGACCAAGUCUGCAGUAAAAUGCUAACGCUUCAUUGGAUAACAACUUGUCACGUGGCCAGGUGCAGUUACAAAGGAAGCUGGGAAAUGAAGUCUAUAGAAGAAGUCAUCAUCGUAAGAAAGAAAAAGCCAUUGUGUCUGCCCCAGGAAGUCCUCAGUCGAAUCUCGUUUGUAAUAUUCACCAGCUCUAGGACUCAGGAAAAUCAGUUCUUUGAACUUCAGUUUUUCUCAUCUUAAAAUAAGAUUAUAUUCAUCCUAUGUAACUAUUGUAAUAUCAUAACUUUAUAACAUCUAAAACAAAGAACGAACUGUGUGCAUUUGUUUGUUUCCUGGGACAACAUCUCCUGCUGUAGCCCAGGCUAUCUCACUGAUUAGUUCAGGCUGGCCUGAGAUGUAAGGCAAUCCUUCUUAGCUUCUCAGGUACUGUGAUUACAGAAGGGAGGCACCAUGCCCAACUUCCAGCGUUUGAAAACGGUCCUCUAAGUUUUCAUACUUAUGUGUGAUUGAUUUUGAGUUAGUUUUUGUUUUUGUAGCAUUGUGGACACUGAGGACUUUAUUGCUUCUUGAC
rnacentral:lncRNA from 1 species